UACAGAGGUCUCAACCGUUGUUCGGAUUCAUUGGGCGUAAAGGGUGCGUAGGCGGUCGCGCAAGUCGGAUGUGAAAUCUCAGGGCUCAACCCUGAAACUGCAUUCGAUACUGCGUGGCUAGAGUGCUGGAGGGGAGACUGGAAUUUACGGUGUAGCAGUGAAAUGCGUAGAUAUCGUAAGGAAGACCAGUGGCGAAGGCGAGUCUCUGGACAGCAACUGACGCUGAGGCACGAAGGCCAGGGGAGCAAACAGG
rnacentral:rRNA from 1 species